rnacentral:misc_RNA from 1 species
GAUGAAGAACGCAGCGAAAUGCGAUACGUAAUGUGAAUUGCAGAAUUCAGUGAAUCAUCGAAUCUUUGAACACAUAUUGCGCUCUUUGGUAUUCCGAAGAGCAUGCUUGUUUGAGUAUCAGUAAACACCUCAAAGUCUUUUUUUCUUGAAGAAAAAGACCUUGGACUUGAGCAAUCCCAACUCUUCUUUCAGAAGAGGCGGGUUGCUUGAAAUGCAGGUGCAGCUGGACAUUCUCCUGAGCUAAAAGCAUAUUCAUUUAGUCCCGUCAAACGGAUUAUUACUUUUGCUGCAGCUAACAUAAAGGGAGUUUGACCAUUUUGGCUGACUGAUGCAGGAAUUUCACAAGAGUCUUCAAAACGCUCUUGUUAAACUCGAUCUCAAAUCAAGUAAGACUACCCGCUGAACUUAAGCAUAUCAAUAAGCGGAGGA